rnacentral:rRNA from 1 species
GCCUACGGGUGGCAGCAGUAGGGAAUAUUGGACAAUGGGCGCAAGCCUGAUCCAGCCAUGCCGCGUGAGUGAUGAAGGCCUUCGGGUUGUAAAGCUCUUUUCUGAGGGAAGAACAAUCGGGACAGGAAAUGGUCCCGGUCUGACGGUACCUCAGGAAUAAGGGACGGCUAACUCCGUGCCAGCAGCCGCGGUAAUACGGAGGUCCCAAGCGUUGUUCGGAAUUACUGGGCGUAAAGGGAGCGCAGGAGGACAGGUCAGUCUAAAGUGGAAAUCCGGGGCUCAACCUCGGACUUGCUUCGGAUACUGCCUGUCUUGAGUUCGUGAGAGGAAGAUGGAAUUCAGGGUGUAGCGGUGAAAUGCUCAGAUAUCCUGAGGAACACCGGUGGCGAAAGCGGUCUUCUGGCGCGAAACUGACGCUGAGGCUCGAAAGCGUGGGGAGCAAACGGGAUUAGAUACCCCAGUAGUCC